ACUACGGGUGGCAGCAGUGAGGAAUAUUGGUCAAUGGGCGAGAGCCUGAACCAGCCAAGUCGCGUGAGGGAGUACUGCCCUAUGGGUUGUAAACCUCUUUUGUCGGGGAGCAAAAGCCGGACGUGUCCGGCUGUGAGAGUACCCGAUGAAAAAGCAUCGUCUAACUCCGGGCCAGCAGCCGCGGUAAUACGGGGGACGCGAGCGUUAUCCGGAUGUAUUGGGGUAAAAGGGUGCGCAGGCGGAUUUUUAAGUCAGCGGUCAAAUCGUGGGGUUAAAACCAAUACAGUCGUUGAUACUGGGGAUCUAGAGUGUGCGAGAGGUAGGCGGAAUGCGUGGUGUAGCGGUGAAAUGCGUAGAUAUCACGCAGAACCCCGAUUGCGAAGGCAGCAUACCGGUGCACAACUGACGCUCAGGCACGAAAGCGUGGGUAUCGAACAGGAUUAGAUACCCUAGUAGUC
rnacentral:rRNA from 1 species